AAAGUUAAAAGGUUGUUAAGGAGCUGCUAACUUCUUAUAAUUAGUGGUUCGAUUCCAUUAUGCUUUU
rnacentral:tRNA from 1 species